rnacentral:rRNA from 1 species
GUGCCAGCAGCCGCGGUAAUACGUAGGGUCCGAGCGUUGUCCGGAGUUACUGGGCGUAAAGCGCGCGCAGGCGGCUUUCUAAGUCUGGCGUGAAAGCCCCCGGCUCAACCGGGGAGGGUCGUCGGAGACUGGGGAGCUUGAGGGCGGUAGGGGCUGGUGGAAUUCCCGGUGUAGUGGUGAAAUGCGUAGAGAUCGGGAGGAACACCUGUGGCGAAGGCGGCCAGCUGGGCCGACCCUGACGCUGAGGCGCGAAGGCGUGGGGAGCGAACGGGAUUAGAUACCCCGGUAGUCCACGCAGUAAACGAUGCAGACUAGGCGUGGGGGGACUUGACCCCCUCCGUGCCGGAGCCAACGCGGUAAGUCUGCCGCCUGGGGAGUACGGCCGCAAGGCUAAA